rnacentral:rRNA from 1 species
GAUGAACGCUGGCGGCGUGCCUAAUACAUGCAAGUCGAGCGAAUGGAUUAAGAGCUUGCUCUUAUGAAGUUAGCGGCGGACGGGUGAGUAACACGUGGGUAACCUGCCCAUAAGACUGGGAUAACCCCGGGAAACCGGGGCUAAUACCGGAUAAUAUUUUGAACUGCAUGGUUCAAAAUUGAAAGGCGGCUUCGGCUGUCACUUAUGGAUGGACCCGCGUCGCAUUAGCUAGUUGGUGAGGUAACGGCUCACCAAGGCAACGGUGCGUAGCCGACCUGAGAGGGUGAUCGGCCACACUGGGACUGAGACACGGCCCAGACUCCUACGGGAGGCAGCAGUAGGGAAUCUUCCGCAAUGGACGAAAGUCUGACGGAGCAACGCCGCGUGAGUGAUGAAGGCUUUCGGGUCGUAAAACUCUGUUGUUAGGGAAGAACAAGUGCUAGUUGAAUAAGCUGGCACCUUGACGGUACCUAACCAGAAAGCCACGGCUAACUACGUGCCAGCCGCCGCCGUAA